rnacentral:rRNA from 1 species
UGGGGAAUAUUGGACAAUGGGCGAAAGCCUGAUCCAGCCAUGCCGCGUGUGUGAAGAAGGUCUUCGGAUUGUAAAGCACUUUAAGUUGGGAGGAAGGGCAUUAACCUAAUACGUUAGUGUUUUGACGUUACCGACAGAAUAAGCACCGGCUAACUCUGUGCCAGCAGCCGCGGUAAUACAGAGGGUGCAAGCGUUAAUCGGAAUUACUGGGCGUAAAGCGCGCGUAGGUGGUUUGUUAAGUUGGAUGUGAAAGCCCCGGGCUCAACCUGGGAACUGCAUCCAAAACUGGCAAGCUAGAGUACGGUAGAGGGUGGUGGAAUUUCCUGUGUAGCGAUGAAAUGCGUAGAUAUAGGAAGGAACACCAGUGGCGAAGGCGACCACCUGGACUAAUACUGACACUGAGGUGCGAAAGCGUGGGGAGCAAACA